UACAGAGGGUGCGAGCGUUAAUCGAAAUUACUGGGCGUAAAGCGUGCGUAGACGGCUAUCUAAGUCGGGUGUGAAAGCCCCGGGCUCAACCUGGGAAUUGCAUUCGAGACUGAAUAGCUAGGGUACGGUAGAGGGAAGUGGAAUUUCCGGUGUAGCGGUGAAAUGCGUAGAUAUCGGAAGGAACAUCAGUGGCGAAAGCGACUUCCUGGACCAGUACCGACGUUCAGGCACGAAAGCGUGGGGAGCAAACAGG
rnacentral:rRNA from 1 species